GUUAGGGGAGAGGGGUGAGCUAUAAAGCCCAGUGAGCAGAAACCAUAAAAGAAAACAGUUCAUUUUAACGUAUGCUAUCAUGGAAUGCAUCACAUCACAGACAUAUCACAUCAAGGAUGAAUUUGUCACCUAUAGCCCUCUACGUACUGUAGUACGUCCAACUAUACCAGGGGCGAUGAGGCCACACCUAGUAUUCGCUUACAUAACUCAUAUCAUAACAAGUCCAACUACACCAGGGGCGAUUAGGCCUCACCUAGUGUUCGCUUACAUUUAACAUAGUGCCAGGGGCGACCUGGUCUUUCUAUCUCAUAUCAUACCAUGUCAUAUCAUAUCAU
rnacentral:lncRNA from 1 species